AGGAACUGUAAUAAAAAAUAAGUGGAACUUUGAGUUUGUCAUGUUAACAAAAGUUUUUGGAUAUUUAUUCAUAUAUUAAGUUGCCACAGUUGUAAGGAUGGAAAAUUUAGACCAGAAUGUACCCUUGAUUUUGCCCUUAAAGGACUGAUUCCUUGGCUGAAGAGACCUGUGGGUGGCUUUUCUGCAUUAAAGAUGUGUCCCCAGGUUCUGGUGAGGCUGGGAAAGGCAGAGUGCACACAGGGCCUUGGAGCUCAGAGAUUGCCAGCCACUUGCUAAAUGAUGGUGUCAGGCACUGGUAGGUGUUUUACAUUGAGCAUCUUGUUCUGACUUCACACAGAGGUAGAGUCAAAACAAACCUACUGUACUGCUAUGGGAGUUGAAGCACUGAAGAUGACACACCUGACCCAGGCUUCAUCCCAGCACAUACUCCUUUCAAAUUAGUUAUUUGGUUUCACCUACUGCUUUCAAGGAAAACAUACCAGGGCAAGAAGACAGCUGACUCUGGGGAAGCGCAGGAAGUGUUGAAAGGUAGCUAAGAACAGAGGUUAGGAGAGGAGCUGGCAGAAGAGAGAGGCAAGGGCAGGCAGGCAGGCAGAGAGGCCAUGCCCAGGAGUUCCCAGGGAGGCAAGAUUUAACUAAUUAGAUAAUUACAGAAGGAAAUAUAGCAGGCAGAGUAAGAACUCAUUGGAAAACAUAUCCUUUGACCUUGGGGGCCAUUUAUCCAAAACUAAAACCAAAACCCUGGCUUUUAAAAACCAGUAUUUCUCCAAAGAUGUUAUAGCCAUGGGUGGUUAUCACUAACUACAAAACCAGCCUCAAAUCUAUCUCUAGGCAAAUACAAGAAACAGACAUAUAGAUUACAUUGAUGUGCGAUUUUCUUAAAUUAUGCAAAUAAUGCUAUACCAGUUCAUACGGUAAGUAAAAGAAUAUGAAACAUUUCUGUUCACAGAAAGAAUAAACAUGUAAAAGUUGGUAUCAUAAAACUAUGUGCAAUAUCAUGUGAGCCAUACAAAUUUAUACAGACCAGAGAUAAAGCCAGAAGGGAAUUUAUCCUCACCAUGCUAACAGUGCUUGUUACUAGAGCUGUGGAAAUUUGACUUUGGUUUCCUACAGCAAGCAGGGCUGAGGAUUUGAGGUGGGAAGAUAGGAGAGAUGGAGUCAAGAGCAGAGGUGGAGACAUUAGUAAUAACGAUAGGUAGUAACAGGAUUUUAAGAGAGGUGAGAAAGUCUAAUGACGUUGGUGAUUAUCUGACCAGAAAGCAUCACAGGUGCUGCUGUGUUACACAGGAUGCAGUCAGAGGCCACUGGGACUUCACCACAGGCUUGUCAGGCACCACUACAUGAAUGGGCAGGUGUCUCUCUUGCUUGGGAGGAGGCCCUUUCUUUUUUAAGCCUUUUUUUUUUUUAAACAUUUUAUUUAAGUUGUAAUGUUUUGAAGGACUCAACAGGAUGUCUAGGAAGCCAGGUGUGCUGUGAAAAAGAACAAAGGAGGGAACAAGGAUCUCAGGUGUCCGAUUGUUUUAACUUAAGGUUACACUGAGGAUGUCAGAGGGGUAUAAGGCACAGAAAAGUCUACAAAUAAAACUACUGGAAAUUAAAUUUGUUUAACAUUUCUGUGUACUUCCCACCCAGAGUGGAUCCAAUUGCACAUAAAAAGAACUUAAUAUUGAAAUCCUAUCAGAGUGCAAACAUCAUUGAAUUGCUUCAUUAUCACCAGUGUGACUCUCGAUCAUCAACAAAAGCAGAACAUUUGAAAUGUCUGCUCACCCUGCAAGUCCAGCACAUCCACGCCAGGUUUGCCGUCUUCCUGACAGAAAAGCCUACUGUCUCCAGAGAAGUCUUUGAAAAUAGUGGCAUCCUUAUUACAGAUGUAAAUAACUUUAUUGAAAAUAUACAAAAAGUAGCAGCUCCGUUUAAGAGUAGCUACUGGUAAGAACUUUCUGUACCUCUCCCAUGUGAACUGUAAUUGACGGCAGAUAACUGACAUCUGUGUCUAUGGGGAAACUAGUUUGGGAAGUUACAUGUUGUGCUGUAUAUUUAAAAUGUAUGUAUAGGGGUGGGUUUGCUGUUGGUUUGGCAUAAAUGGGAAUUCCUAAAGUAUCACUGAUGAAAUAAUCUACUUGAUCAUUUUAUCUGAAUGAUAGGCAUUUUCACUUGCAGGGCAUCUUGAUUGCCAGGACAAAAGAUACUAUCACCUUCAGAUACAUAAAUAUGCUAUAGCUUGGGGGAAGCUUUCCUUGUGUGUUUUUCACUUCGCUAGAAAACAUCUGACGGCACUUAGGCCCGCAGUUGCCCCUAUAGGCUUUGGGCUGCAGCGUUAAAUAUGGUUUUAAAUUAUUUUCGUUUUAGGAAGAAUGCUUUCAUAGCUAUUAACUAAGGAGCUUUAACCAAUAGCUUUGUUACGUAAUACAUGUUUUUAAAGGUUUACCAUCCUUGUGAAAGCUAUAAUCUUACACUACAUAAAAUUAAACAUUUUCUCCUAAAUGGUACAAAUUUAUAAACUCAUUUUUACAUACUCAGUUUUUGUAAUAGUGCACUACAAAAUCAACCUUCUGGGGAAGAAAUAAUCCCUACAGUAAUCUUUAAAACUCAAGGCCAAGCAAAAAACCAUUAUGAUACAUAGUAUCUAUUUGAAACAAGUUUUUAUAACUGGUUUGUUUCAUUUUUUAAAUAAAGAUAACUAAAAAAUCAUGUGACUGCUUCUGCACUUUGUAGCAACAGUGGGGUUUGUAGGGAAUGUUUUAACAAGCUGCAAGCAAGCUGCAGAGAGCUGUUAGACCUGUACAGAAACUUCUUUCAGAAGUGCCAAUUUCACUGUUACUUUCUCAGGAAGAGGACUAACAGUCUUAGUAAUUUAAACCCUAGGGUUAAGAGCUAAUGAGAACUCUUAACUGUAUGUGGUGCACCAAAUUACUUAGAAGUUACUAAGGAUGUGGAAACCUUUACUGAGUGCCUACUAAUACCUGCUCUCUGCCUGGUGCUUGUCCUUCGGUUGUACUUCACAUGGUCAUCGUCCCUUGCUGAAAAGCUGUCCAACCCCCAUGAAACCAUCCGUUUUCUGUGACUGUUUUACUACUUCACCAAGCCAUGGGGCAAGGGUCCUGCUGCUAGAGAGACUGUGCUGUUGUCACCUUCCUACCACACUGGCCAGACCUAUAAGUAUUAUUAGUUGUUCAACAAAUAGACUGAAUGAAAAUGCAUAUGAAAAUGUCCUUUUCCUGUUUUAUUUGGACUUAAUGCUGCCAAAGGUGCAAGCUGGGUUAGUAGUAGUAGUUCAAAAUUUGAAGUCUCACAGGGAGGGAAAGGCUUGCUGGGGAUUCACAUAAGGGCAUGUAGAUACAGCAGUUGUUCUCAACUGUGGUAAUUUUGUGCCCCAGGAGAUGUGUGAGAAUGUCUGGGGACAUUCUUGGUUAUCAGCUAGGGAAGUGCUAUUGGCAUCUAGUGACUAGAGGCCAGAGACACUACUAAAUGUCACAGUGUGCAAGACAGCCUCCCACAAUGAAGAAUGAGCUUAACGACAAAUCCACCAAACUGCUGCUAUAAGCCCAAGUACCAGAGGUGUUAACUCACAUGGGAAAACCACUUGCUCUAAACCACUGGACAAACCAAGAGUCUCAUUACACUGCUCCAAGAAUACAGUUUGGGGGCUACUCAGCAUGAAGCCAGGUGACAGACUGUUUCCAUCCCUCAGCUUGGACUCUCCCCACACUGUCAAUGGCUGAGCACACCUGCUCCAACAGCUCCAUCUUCAGCUCUACUGAAGGACGUGCAGCUGUGUCUCGCCAGCACACCACUUUCAACCUCAUACACACCAGGACACAACAGACCAACCAACAGGGAACUGGUUUCCAGAGUUCAGCUUUAUUGUGCAGUACAGAAAUCAUUGGAGCCAUUUUGAGACAGACAUCACUGAAGGGAAGGCGCUGUCAAAUCAAUACUGCAUUGCAGCUUGGUCCACCAAAAAAGCCACACCUGGGAUACAAAAAAGCUUCUACAUUUACCUGCUUUAUGAUUGGUUUCUUUCCCCUUUGUUCUCAUCAGUUUAUUAGGUUGAAACACUGCACACAUGCUUCCUCCAAAAUGACUCUCAAAGUCUGGAGCUGACUUAGAAUUUUAGGCCCAUAUAAACCAAAUGUGUGGCUAUGCUACAGGGGCACUGUCAUAAUACUUGAUGCAGAAUAUUGAGGUAUAGGGAAAACUUAGAGAUGCUGUCCCAAAUUAUGGAAUAUUUGAUUUGACUUUUCAAAUCUCCUUGUAAGUCAAGAGGAUAGAUGGCACUCAAACUGUACUGAUCCAGCUCUUGAGCAAAAGCACAUAAUUGCAAAGGCUACAAGAUACAAAUACUGUAUCAAGUUCUCUGCAUCAACAUCACAUUUUUUUUAAACUGAUCCUUCACUAGAAAAAAAAA